rnacentral:rRNA from 1 species
CAGCAGCCGCGGUAAUACGUAGGGUGCGAGCGUUAAUCGGAAUUACUGGGCGUAAAGCGUGCGCAGGCGGCUUUGCAAGACAGAUGUGAAAUCCCCGGGCUCAACCUGGGAACUGCAUUUGUGACUGCAUGGCUAGAGUACGGUAGAGGGGGAUGGAAUUCCGCGUGUAGCAGUGAAAUGCGUAGAUAUGCGGAGGAACACCGAUGGCGAAGGCAAUCCCUUGGACCUGUACUGACGCUCAUGCACGAAAGCGUGGGGAGCAAACAGGAUUAGAUACCCCUGUAGUCCCUGUCUCUUAUAC